rnacentral:rRNA from 1 species
GACGAACGCUGGCGGCGGGCUUAACACAUGCAAGUCGAACGGCAAGGCCCUGCGUGUGUGGGGUUCCCGAGUGGGGAACGGGGGAGUAACACGUGAGUAACGUGCCCUUGACUUUGGGAGAAGUUCAGGAAAGUGGGGCUAAUAUCGUAUAGGAUAUCCUGUUGCGGGGUGGGGGGGGGAAAUUCGAGGCGGGUGGGGAUGGACUGGCGGCUGACCGGCUUGUUGGUUGGGGAGUGGCUGACCAAGGCUGUGGACGGUAGCCGGCCGGAGUGGGUGACCGGCGACCAUGGGACUGCGGGACGGACCAGACGCCUACGGGAGGCAGCAGUGGCGAAUAUUGCCCAACGGGCGGACGCCUGAUGCAGCGACGCCGCGGGCGUGAUGACCGCCUUCGGGUUGUAAACCGCUUUCGCCUGUGACGCAGCGUGAGUGACGGUAAUGGGUAAAGAAGCACCGGCUAACUACGUG